rnacentral:tRNA from 1 species
UCCCUAUAGCUCAGCCGGCAAAGAAUUUGCCUGCAAUGCAGGAGACCCAGGUUCCAUUCCUGGAUUGGGAA